rnacentral:lncRNA from 1 species
GUUCUGUCUUAUACAUUAUGGUAUUUUCCCUGUUUUUAUCCACAUCAUAGAUGUUUAAUAAGUGAUCUUGUAGUUUUCAGACAUCAAAACAGUUGGUCUAUAUUCCUAUUGACUGUUUAUUAUGCCUUGAAACUUCUUUAAGCGUAGUAAGGUAAUCUUCUGCUGUAACUACUAAUAGGAGGCGUACUUCUAUCAGCAACAUAUUCAUUUUAGAAACAGUGUUGUAUAGACAAUCCCAAUAUCAGUAGCGUUGAUAGCAAAACAGAUAUAUAUAGCCAUGACUGGGUCAAGAUCGGUUGGUAGCAAUGCUUGUGAUAAACUGUCUUUUCCAUUAUGAUUAGUGAGGCUACUUUUUAUAAAAAAAAACACCCUGUAACUAUGAUUAAAUAUUUUCCUCUCUUAUUUAUCUUGAUCUCUAUAUCAUUUUUAUUCUCAAUUGUCAAUCUUAACUUCUAGGUUGCCUUGGCCGUAUUUGGCACAACUUUUUGGAAUUUCGGAUCCUCAAUGUUCAUCAACUUUGUGCUUGUUUGGCUUUAUGAAUGUUUUCGUAUGAGAUUCACUGAUGAGUCUUAUGUAGACGAAACGAGCGUCUGGCGUACUAAAUUAUAAUCCUGAUACCUUUGAUGACUCUAAGUUGUCCAUUGCUGAUAAAGCUUCUUCUACCUACAAAGAAAUUUUAUCUUUAAAUUUGAUGUUAUAUGUGCAUAUAUUUUACAAUUAACGACUAUAAAGACACUAGUUAUCUUUACAUAUGAAUAUCUAGACCUUUAUC